rnacentral:rRNA from 1 species
UACGUAGGGUGCAAGCGUUGUCCGGAAUUAUUGGGCGUAAAGAGCGUGUAGGCGGUCCGGUAAGUCGGCUGUGAAAGUCCAGGGCUCGAACCCUGGGAUGCCGGUCGAUACUGCCGGACUAGAGUUCGGAAGAGGCGAGUGGAAUUCCUGGUGUAGCGGUGAAAUGCGCAGAUAUCAGGAAGAACACCCGUGGCUAAGGCGGCUCUCUAGUACGGUACUGACGCUGAGACGCGAAAGCGUGGGGAGCGAACAGG